CUUUGCUCUUCCAUUCCAGGUGAAUUGACUGUGUGAUGCAGGUAACAAUGCAGUGUCAAAUCUGGGCCAGGACUUUUGGGAAGACAAGUGCAUGACUGCCUUUCAGCUGAGAACAAUGGAAAAGCUGCUCCUGAUUUGCAUUUGGAAAGGGUCCUUCCACCAGAAUAGUUUUGCCCUGUGAAAUGAGCCUGUUUUCUUUGGAGAAGAAUGAAGAAGGAAAGCCUCAAAUACAUGGAUAUAAUUGUCUUCAUUAAAAGCUGGCUGAAAAGACUUUAUCCUGUGGGGUCUACUUUCUGUCUCUCUGAGCCUGAAUCUGCAAUUCAAAGCAAUGGGAUCAAGAGAACUGGAAGGGAGAGGUUUCUGUGCUUACAUCACCACCCGACUGCAAUUCCACUAAAGACCUCAGCAAAGCAGAGCUGUUGGCUCCUAAGGACUGAGUAUGGCAUAUCCCUGGCAUCACCUGAUUGCACAGUGGCAUUUUAGGAUUUCCCAGGUAAAAAUAUCUAUGUUUGAGACUUA
rnacentral:lncRNA from 1 species